rnacentral:rRNA from 1 species
AAUAUUGCACAAUGGGGGAAAUCCUGUUGCAGCAACGCCGCUUGAAGGAAUAAGGCCUUCGGGUUGUAAACUUCUUUUACCGGGGACGUAUAAAUGACGGUACCCGGAAAACAAGCCACGGCUAACUACGUGUCAGUAGCCGCGGUAAUACGGAGGUGGCAAGCGUUGUCCGGAUUUACUGGGUGUAAAGGGCGUGUAGGCGGGUUUUUAAGUCAGAUGUGAAAUACCGGGGCUCAACUCCGGGGCUGCAUCUGAAACUGGAGAUCUUGAGUACUGGAGGGGAAAGUGGAAUUCCUAGUGUAGCGGUGAAAUGCGUAGAGAUUAGGAGGAACACCAGUGGCGAAGGCGGCUUUCUGGACAGUAACUGACGCUGAGGCGCGAAAGCGUGGGGAGCAAACAGG